rnacentral:rRNA from 1 species
UCAGUCGACUCCUACGGGGAGGCAGCAGUGGGGAAUAUUGCACAAUGGGGGAAACCCUGAUGCAGCCAUGCCGCGUGUGUGAAGAAGGCCUUCGGGUUGUAAAGCACUUUCAGUAGGGAGGAAGGUAGUGUAGUUAACACCUGCAUUAUUUGACGUUACCUACAGAAGAAGCACCGGCUAACUCCGUGCCAGCAGCCGCGGUAAUACGGAGGGUGCGAGCGUUAAUCGGAAUUACUGGGCGUAAAGCGCAUGCAGGCGGCCUGUUAAGUCAGAUGUGAAAGCCCGGGGCUUAACCUCGGAAUUGCAUUUGAAACUGGCAGGCUAGAGUCUUGUAGAGGGGGGUAGGAAUUUCAGGUGUAGCGGUGAAAUGCGUAGAGAUCUGAAGGAAUACCAGUGGCGAAGGCGGCCCCCUGGACAAGACUGACGCUCAGAUGCGAAAGCGUGGGGAGCAAACAGGAUUAGAUACCCUGGUAG